rnacentral:rRNA from 1 species
UGGGGAAUUUUGCACAAUGGGCGAAAGCCUGAUGCAGCAACGCCGCGUGCGGGAUGAAGGCCCUCGGGUUGUAAACCGCUUUCAGCAGGGACGAACGUGACGGUACCUGCAGAAGAAGCCCCGGCUAACUACGUGCCAGCAGCCGCGGUAAUACGUAGGGGGCAAGCGUUAUCCGGAUUCAUUGGGCGUAAAGCGCGCGUAGGCGGCUUGUUAAGUCAGAUGUGAAAACCGGGGGCUCAACCCGCGGCCUGCAUCUGAAACUGGCAGGCUUGAGUCUGGUAGAGGAAAGUGGAAUUCCUGGUGUAGCGGUGAAAUGCGCAGAUAUCAGGAGGAACACCAGUGGCGAAGGCGGCUUUCUGGGCCACGACUGACGCUGAGGCGCGAAAGCUAGGGGAGCGAACAGG